GCUUACGGCCAUACCACCCUCAGCACGCCCUAUCUCGUCUGAUCUCGGAAGCUAAGCAGGGUCGGGCCUGGAUAGUACUUGGAUGGGAGACCGCCUGGGAAUACCAGGUGCUGUAAGCU
ensembl:rRNA 5S_rRNA 5S ribosomal RNA